CCCAAAAAGUUUUUGUAAAGCAAGAGGAGGAGAAACAAAAGCAUAAAGCAAAAAUGAUGAUGUCCGCAGUGAAUCCAGUAGUGGAAAAACGAAUUAGAACCAAUGGUUCAAAGGGGUUGAGGAACAUGGACAAGGAGAAGGGGAAGAGGUAUGAGGGGUGUAAUGCUUCCUCCUCUUAGUAGGGGACAGGGAAGACUUUGCAGUCACCACAGGUUGUCCAGCCAUCAGCAUGUUGCUUCCUGUGUGGGAAAAGUGGACACUUAAAAUGUGAAUGUCCCAGUCUUGAGAAGGAGGAGCAGGUAAUUCUGUUGAUGACCUUUGAAGAUACUGAAUGGGGGAGUCAGGGGCUUCUUGAAGUCCCACCAAGAACCCUUGGUAAAUUUGAAAGUGGGACUUCCCUCAGGAUGAGGAAGUGGGGUUUUCUUAGUUGAUAUAGGAGCUGCUCAAACCUCAUUAAACUCAAUACCCCAAGGACUGAAACUAUCUGAUCAAAACCUGAUAGUCUCAGGAGUAAAAGGAGAAGGAUUCCCAGUCCCCGUGUUUGAAAACACCAUGUUAAAAUUAGGAAAUGAAACAACUAAAGGGAAAUCUUUAUAUAUUUCUGAGGCAUGGAAUGUAUUAGGAAGAGAUUAGGUUGUACAAUUAGGAUUAUGUUUAUGGUCCUAUUAACAGAAAAAGGUGAAAAGGAAAUAGAUCCAGUAGUUUGGGUGAAAGAAAGAAAUAGGGGAAGACUGGACAUACCCCCUUUAAAAAUCAAGUUGAAAAGGGAAGGUGACGUGGUAAACCAAAAGCAAUAUCCUAUCCCACUGGAAGGACGCAAAGGGCUUCAGGCGGUCAUAGAAGCUUUGAUCAAAGAUGGGCUGUUGAAACCCUGUGUGUCCCCUUUUUACCUGUAAGAAAAUAUGACAGGUCACAUCGUUUGGUCCAGGAUUUGAGAAAACUGAACCAAAUAGUCCAAGUCUGGCAUCCAGUGGUCCCCAAUCCUUAUACCUUAAUGAGCAAUAUAUCACAUGAACAUGAAUGGUUCAGUGCUGUGGAUCUGAAGGAUACCUUUUUGGCAUGUCCGUUGGAUCCAGAAAGCCGAGACGUGUUUGCAUUGGAAUGGGAGGACCCCUACAUGGGGCAUAAACAGCAGUUUAGAUGGAUGGUGUUGCCACAGGGAUUUACAGAGUCACCAAAUGUAUUUGUGCAGGUGUUAGAACGAGUAUUAGAAAAAUUAAAACCACCCCCACGCGUCACCCUGUUGCAAUAUGUGGAUGAUUUGUCCAUUUCAGGGAAAAAGAAAGAGGCAGUAACAGAAGAAACGCAUUACUAAACUUCCUGGGAGAACAAGACCUAAGAUUAUCGAAGAACAGAUUGCUGUAUGUAGAAAAAGAGGUCAAAUACUGUCCUGGUUUCAGCUGUAAUAGUUACUAUUCUUCUUAGUAGCUGGUGCAGUGCUGUGUUCUGGCUUCAGUCUGAGAACAAUGCUGAUAACACACCGAUGUUUUAGUUGUUGCUGGGUAACGCUUACUUCGGUCAAGGACUUUUCAGUCUCUCACGCUCUUGUCAGUGAGGAGGGGCACAAGAAGCCAGGAGGGAGCAGAGACAGGACACCUGACCCAAACUAACCAAAGGGAAACAAAGGACUCCACGCUGAAACGCCACCCUUGGAAUUCACAGUUCAUACCAUUCAACCAGGGGACCGCAUACUGAUCAAGUCAUGGAAGGACUUUAAAUUACAGCCUGUGUGGGACGGCCUGUUUCAUAUACUGUUCACCACUGAAGCUGCUGUGAGGACUGCCAGAAAAGGUUGGACACACUACACAAGGAUAAAAGGACCAGUGGAACUCCCAUCUGAAGACUGGCAGUAGCACGUACAAUCAACUGGGAACCCCCUCUGUGUUAAGAUAAAGAGACAAUAAGCAUA